GACGAACGCUGGCGGCGUGCUUAACACAUGCAAGUCGAGCGGUAAGGCCCUUUCGGGGGUACACGAGCGGCGAACGGGUGAGUAACACGUGGGUGACCUGCCCUCAGCUCUGGGAUAAGCCUGGGGAACCGGGUCUAAUACCGGAUAUGACUCCAUGACGCAUGUUGUGGGGUGGAAAGCCUUGUGCGGCUGAGGAUGGGCCCGCGGCCUAUCAGCUUGUUGGUGGGGUGAUGGCCUACCAAGGCGACGACGGGUAGCCGGCCUGAGAGGGCGACCGGCCACACUGGGACUGAGACACGGCCCAGACUCCUACGGGAGGCAGCAGUGGGGAAUCUUGCGCAAUGGGCGAAAGCCUGACGCAGCGACGCCGCGUGAGGGAUGACGGCCUGUGUAAC
rnacentral:rRNA from 1 species